rnacentral:rRNA from 1 species
AUUGAACGCUGGCGGCAUGCCUUACACAUGCAAGUCGAACGGCAGCACGGGUGCUUGCACCUGGUGGCGAGUGGCGAACGGGUGAGUAAUACAUCGGAACGUGCCCAGUCGUGGGGGAUAACGCAGCGAAAGCUGUGCUAAUACCGCAUACGAUCUAUGGAUGAAAGCGGGGGAUCGCAAGACCUCGCGCGAUUGGAGCGGCCGAUAUCAGAUUAGAUAGUUGGUGGGGUAAAAGCUACCAAGGCGACGAUCUGUAGCUGGUCUGAGAGGACGACCAGCCACACUGGAACUGAGACACGGUCCAGACUCCUACGGGAGGCAGCAGUGGGGAAUUUUGGACAAUGGGCGCAAGCCUGAUCCAGCAAUGCCGCGUGCAGGAUGAAGGCCUUCGGGUUGUAAACUGCUUUUGUACGGAGCGAAAAGGCUCUCUCUAAUACAGGGGGCUCAUGACGGUACCGUAAGAAUAAGCACCGGCUAACUACGUGCCAGCAGCCGCCGUAA